CAGGGAGACAACAAAGUGUUAAAUAUUAAUUUUGUCACCUUAGGUCGAUCGGUAUCUCACAUUCUUAAUUUAUUAAGGAUUUUAUUUCCUAAGUUUUUUCUAGGUCACACCCAUCACUUUUCCUGGGCCAUUAGCUCAGGUGGUUAGAGCGCACCCCUGAUAAGGGUGAGGUCCCUGGUUCAAGUCCAGGAUGGCCCAUAUCUCUAUGUUGGGGGUAUAGCUCAGUUGGUAGAGCGCCUGCUUUGCAAGCAGGAUGUCAGCGGUUCGAGUCCGCUUACCUCCACUGAUUACCACCUCUUCCAUGAUUUGUAGAAGGGAAAUUUUUAUUGGUGUGACCAAGUUCUGAACGAAUCUAGCUUCCUAAUAAAUUGUAUUAAGAUGCUGGACUCAUUGAAUUAAUUUCAUUGUUUUCAGAGAACCUUGACAACUGCAUAGAUUAUUUUAAAGACAAUAAGCAUCUUAAAUGAUGCAGAUUUUUAUUUUUGCAAAUGCAUUAAUAACAAUUCUAUUAAGCUGAUGCUUCAAUUUUGAAGUUAUU
rnacentral:tRNA from 1 species